rnacentral:rRNA from 1 species
CGGCGUGGAUUAGGCAUGCAAGUCCAACGAUUCGCUGUAAUGUGAAUAGUGGCAAAAGGGUGAGUAAUGCGUGGGUAAUCUACCCUUAGGUUAAGGAUAACCUGCCGAAAGGCGGGCUAAUACUUGAUAAGACCACACCUUGGCAUCAGGGUGAGGUUAAAGCUGGGGACCCUAACAGGGCCUGGCUCCUUUGGAUGAGCCCAUGUCCUAUCAGCUAGUUGGUGAGGUAAUGGCUCACCAAGGCUUUUGACGGGUAGCUGGACUGAUAGGUUGGUCAGCCACACUGGGACUGAGACACUGCCCAGACUCCUACGGGAGGCUGCAGUCGAGGAUCUUUUGCAAUGCGCGAAAGCGUGACAAUGCGACGCCGUGUGAGCGAUGAAGGUCUUCGGAUCGUAAAGCUCUGUCAGAUCGGAUGAAAUCCGACUUUCUAACAAAUUGUCGGUUUGACGUUACGGUCAAAGGAAGCCACGGCUAACUCCGUGCCAGCAGCCGCGGUAAUACGGAGGUGGCGAGCGUUGUUCGGAUUUAUUGGGUGUAAAGGGUUUGUAGGUGUCC